GGCCCAGUAGCUCAGCGGUUAGAGCAACGGACUCAUAAUCCGGGGUGCGUGGGUUCAAAUCCCACCUGGGCUA
rnacentral:tRNA from 1 species